UAUCUCUUUGAAAAGGACAACUAUUUUGUUUAUGUUGUUAUAUAUCUUAUUGCACUUCUUGAUGUUUGCAGGGCUUGUAGUCCCAGAUGUUCCAUUAGAAGAGACUGAUAAUUUAAGAAAGGAAGCUCUGAAAAAGAAUAUUGUACUGGUAUUGCUAACCACACCCACUACUCCUAAUGAUCGAAUGAAAGCCAUUGUUCAAGCUGCUGAAGGAUUUGUCUAUCUGGAUUAAUUGUUGAUUGCAAUUUGAGCAAGAGCUUGGUUUUGCAGGAUUUUCUAUAACGAAAGACUUUGGAUUUUGAUUGAUUUAUUGAGGUAUUUACUCUUCAAAUGUGUUUAUUCUCUGUAUUUAGGCUUGUUUAUUUUGGUUUUUUUUUUCAUUAUGUGUUAUAAGUUUAAGAGAAUACAUGUUUCAAUUGAAUUUUUGUAAAACUUUAAUGUAUGUAGAAAAAUAUAUGUUGUUCUAAUAGAACCCAAUAUAGAGUUAAGUGGAGGUUAAUCUAAUUCCAUGCAAUUAAUACAAUAUGUUUAAGCUAUAGCUACCUAUAACUAGAUUGAUAUUUACACAUAUUUAAUCCUAUUUAAAAUAAUAUAUUUGUUUUUUAUCAAUAAAAAGAAGUCUUACUAUUUUUACAAGUUUUGAGUUUUUCAGAAUAAUAUGUA